GUGGGAAGCUGUUUUGUCCUGUUUUUCACUGCAUCACGGUUUGAUUUCUGGUCCUCAAAGCAAUUAACAUUUGGCAUCAAACAGGGAAACAGACAGAGCCUCGCCCCCGCAAACGCCUCACUCACACGCAUGCAUGGACAUGCACACACCCACACAUGUGCACACUGCUGCUCGCCCAUGUGUCUGUCAUGACAGGGCGCUGUGUUUCCUACUCCCGCGGUCAUCCUGCUGGCAGAUGACCAGGUCCCAGGCAGUAGCAAUGCGGCACAGCUGCAGGAGAUCCGAAGCUGCCUGGGCUGUCCACAGUGGCGUGGGCCUCAGCUGCAGCUUCCAGCACAGCUGCUUAGAUAGGGCCAGCUUUUUUUUUUUUUUUUUAAACAAACCUGAAGCUCAUUGUGUGGUCGAAGAUGUGGUUUGCGAGUGCCCAUGGCAGGAUUCCCACUGCGGAGACUCCUGUACAUCGGGUAUGAGGCAGCACAUUGCGUGCAAUGCAUUCUGGUCUUUUUUCCUCCCUCCAGAAGAGGCUCCAUUUAUGUGUUAGGCUUUAAGAGGCUGGGCGUACCAAAAGGAAGUCUCUGAAACGCAGUCCUGUCGAACACCUCUGGAGUUGAUUCUUCUGAUAUCACAGGAGUUCUUCCUAUCACUGUAUAUUAUUGGGUGCGAGCCCCCGGUCCUUCCUCUAUGAGGAGGCAGUGGAGGGAAGAGUUGAACCUCUUCUCGCACACACACCUGAGACUCCCUGGCUCUCUCUGUGGGCCACAGGAUGGGCUUCAGUUAUGGCGAGUAAUAAUUUUGUUAUCGCGGUUUUUACAUUGAUUUGGAACAUGGUGUUACACAAAAUGCUGAAAUUGAAAAAGACAGGAUGAGUCACCUUUGCCCUGUCUCCUCUUCAAGUCUGAUCCUAAUUGAACGGAGAGUGCAAACUGCACGCCAAGAUUUGCAGAACAAAGGCCUCCCCGCCCACGAGUUCCUCAUGGCCUUGCCUCAGUCCCCGAAAUCCCGCUGUUAGCCUCCCUCACUAGAAUAAGGCAUUAGCACAGAAGCCAACGUUGGGGGAAAAGAAAAUCAAUACAGCGUGGAAGAGAAAGCAGGAAGCCAUGGAGGGAGGAAGAGACUGAGGCUCCGGCUGGAAGGACUUCGUUUGUGAUAAGAGCAGAGAGGAAAAGCAGCAAGAAAGAAAAGUCGCUGUACACUUUGGGUCUGGACAUCAAAGAAACAAAGGAAAUGCUUAGAUUCAGAGUGGCACGUGUGUAGAAAAAAGUCCUGCUUUCCUGUCUUGGGGGACACCACUAUCAUCCCAUGUAAGUGACCAGUGCUCCCCAAGUGGCCCUCUCCUGGCAUUUCACUGAGACACAAGCUCCCUGAAAGCUGGGGCUUACCUGACCAUGUGCCCCCUGCACUCCCAGGGCUGAGACCUGCGUCUGGUCCCUGCUAGACACCCAGCGAGGGUUGACAGCAUGAGCGAAUGAGCUUCUCCGUCUGCCCGUAAGUGUGAUGGACACCUUCUCCUACAGCCACCCGUUUCACACAUCAGGCAAACGUCUGUCAAGUCCACUCCUGAAAAUCCUGGUAUUUUCUCUACUUCUCUAUGAUAAUUUUAAUGUUUCCUUGAGGCAGUAUUCUUGCACCGGAAAGCAGCAUGAAUGAGGACUUGGAAAGCCCCCGCUUGCCUACGAAGGCGUCAUGGAAGGAUGUGGCAUUGGACAGGUGAUGCAGUCACAGCCUCGCCCUAGGCCACUCCGGGUCUCUGCUGCCAGGCUACGAGGAGCAGAGAAACACAGGUCCUCUAGCGCAGGUGAGGAACUUUGGGAAAUUAUUUGAUCUUGUCUUAGGGAAUACCACGAGCAAAGCUUAUUACACGGCUUGGGACAAAUAUAUGGGUCAAAAAAUCACCCCAAAACAUGAAAGAACUUUAUACAAAGGGGAUCCACUUGGGAGGGCUUAGACCCAGCACCACGAGGUUUCCAGUUGUGUUCAGCCUCAUUUCACAUCUAAUGACUGUUCUGAGACUGCAUGUUGGCCUUACCAUUGGAAGAGAACAAUGGGAGUCAGCACUUAAUCAUUUUGUAGUGGUGAAUGGAAU
rnacentral:lncRNA from 10 species